ensembl:lncRNA
AUGCCGGAAUUUCACCCCGGAACUGCCGGGAUCGGAGCCACGAGCGCCGGGACCGGGACUCGAAACCAGCAGGGAUCACCAAAAUCCCGGGGUUUGUCCCCAAAUUCCCGGGGUUUGUCCCCAAAUUCCCGGGGUUUGUCCCCAAAUCUCUGGAGUUUGUCCCCAAAUUCCCAGGGUUUGUCCCCAAAUUCCCGGGGUUUGUCCCCAAAUUCCCGGGGUUUGUCCCCAAAAUUCCUGGGGUUUGUCCCCAAAUUCCCGGAGUUUGUCCCCAAAUUCCCAGGGUUUGUCCCCAAAUUCCCGGGGUUUGUCCCCAAAUUCCUGGAGUUUGUCCCCAAAAUUCCCGGGGUUUGUCCCCAAAUUCCUGGAGUUUGUCCCCAAAUUCCUGGGGUUUGUCCCCAAAUUCCCGGGGUUUGUCCCCAAAUCUCUGGAGUUUGUCCCCAAAAUUCCUGGGGUUUGUCCCCAAAUCUCUGGGGUUUGGCCCCAAAUCCCGGGGUUUGUCCCCAAAUUCCCGGGGUUUGUCCCCAAAUUCCUGGAGUUUGUCCCCAAAUCUCUGAAAUUUGUUCCCAAAUUCCCGGGGUUUGUCCCCAAAUUCCCGGGGUUUGUCCCCAAAUCUCUGGAGUUUGUCCCCAAAUUCCCAGGGUUUGUCCCCAAAUCUCUGGGGUUUGGCCACAAAUCCCGGUGUUUUUCCCCAAAAUCCCCGGGGUUUGUCCCCAAAUUCCCGGGGUUUGUCCCCAAAUCUCUGGAGUUUGUCCCCAAAUUCCCAGGGUUUGUCCCCAAAUCUCUGGAAAAUCUCUGGGGUUUGUCCCCAAAUCUCCGGGAUUUGUCCCCAAAUCCCGGUGUUUUCCCCCCAAAUCCCCAGGGUUUGUCCCCAAAUUCCUGAGGUUUAUCCCCAAAAUUCCCAGGGAAUUUAUCCCUCAAAAAAUUCCCCAAAAUUUGGGAUUUGGACCCAAAAUCCCCAAAACUUGGGAUUUGGACCCAAAAUUCCCAGAAAUUUGGGAUUUGGACCCAAAAAUCCCCAAAAUUUGGGAUUUGGACCCAAAAUCCCCAAAAUUUGGGAUUUGGACCCAAAAUCCCCAAAAUUUGGGAUUUGUCCCCAAAAUUCCCAGAAAUUUGGGAUUUGGACCCAAAAAUCCCCAAAAUUUGAGAUUUGUCCCCAAAAUUCCCAGGGAAAUUAUCCCUCCAAAAAUGCCCAAAAUUUGGGAUUUGGACCCAAAAUUCCCAGAAAUUUGGGAUUUGUCCCAAAAAUUCCCCAAAAUUUGGGAUUUGGACCCAAAAUUCCCAGAAAUUUGGGAUUUGGACCCAAAAAUCCCCAAAAUUUGGGAUUUGUCCCCAAAAUUCCCAGAAAUUUGGGAUUUGUCCCCAAAAUUCCCAGAAAUUUGGGAUUUGGACCCAAAAAUGCCCAAAAUUUGGGAUUUGUCCCCAAAAUUCCCAGAAAUUUGGGAUUUGGACCCAAAAAUCCCCAAAAUUUGA